rnacentral:rRNA from 1 species
UACGUAGGGGGCUAGCGUUGUCCGGAAUCAUUGGGCGUAAAGAGCGUGUAGGCGGUCCGGUAAGUCCGCUGUGAAAGUCGGGGGCUCAACCCUCGAAUGCCGGUGGAUACUGUCGGGCUAGAGUCCGGAAGAGGCGAGUGGAAUUCCUGGUGUAGCGGUGAAAUGCGCAGAUAUCAGGAGGAACACCAAUGGCGAAGGCAGCUCGCUGGGACGGUACUGACGCUGAGACGCGAAAGCGUGGGAGCAAACAGGAUUAGAU